GAUGAACGCUGGCGGCGUGCCUAAUACAUGCAAGUCGAGCGAAUGGAUUGAGAGCUUGCUCUUAUGAAGUUAGCGGCGGACGGGUGAGUAACACGUGGGUAACCUGCCCAUAAGACUGGGAUAACUCCGGGAAACCGGGGCUAAUACCGGAUAACAUUUUGAACCGCAUGGUUCGAAAUUGAAAGGCGGCUUCGGCUGUCACUUCUGGAUGGACCCGCGUCGCAUUAGCUAGUUGGUGAGGUAACGGCUCACCAAGGCAACGAUGCGUAGCCUACCUGAGUGGGUGAUCGGCCACGCUAGGACUGAGACACGGGCCAGACUCCUACGGGAGGCAGCAGUAGGGAAUCAUCCGCAAUGGACGAAAGUCUGACGGAGCAACGCCGCGUGAGUGAUGAAGGCUUUCGGGUCGUAAAACUCUGUUGUUAGGGAAGAACAAGUGCUAGUUGAAUAAGCUGGCUCCUUGACGGUACCUAACCAGAAAGCCACGGCUAUCUACGUGCCAGCCGCCGCCGUAA
rnacentral:rRNA from 1 species